UGGCGGACGGGUGAGUAACGCGUGGGUAACCUGCCUUACACAGGGGGAUAACACCUGGAAACAGGUGCUAAUACCGCAUAAGCGCACAGGGCCGCAUGGCCCGGUGUGAAAAACUCCGGUGGUGUAAGAUGGAUCCGCGUCUGAUUAGCUUGUUGGCGGGGUAGGGGCCCACCAAGGCGACGAUCAGUAGCCGGCCUGAGAGGGUGGACGGCCACAUUGGGACUGAGACACGGCCCAAACUCCUACGGGAGGCAGCAG
rnacentral:rRNA from 1 species